rnacentral:tRNA from 1 species
UCAGGACAAAAGGACUCAAACCUUCUCUUUUGGCCCCCAAAGCCAACAUUCUUAUUAAAUUAUGUCCUG